CCGACUUUAGCUCAGUUGGAAGAGCGCGAGACUGUAAUUGGUUAACAUAUGACAUCUUGAGGUCGCCUGUUCGAGCCAGGCAAGUCGGA
rnacentral:tRNA from 1 species